UUCAUAUUUCAAAAUAAAAUAUGGUUUAUGAUUGAUGAUUUAGGGUUUAGAAUUGAGUUUUAGGGUUUAGGGUUUGAAUUUAGAAAUAGUAUAUAUUUAUUAUCUAUAUAUAAUAGCAAAUCUUUUUUAUCUAACUGAUGACAUCAUCAAUUUAUUAUAGGAAAAAAAAUCAAAAUCUAAUGGUGAGAAUCGUGUCUGUGAUAUAAUUUAAUGGUUAAGGUUUUGUUUAGAAACAAAAGAAUGACGUACUAGAUUUACUAUAGCAAUCGACGGCUUCAUCAUACCUCCUCACAGGCGUCUCUUAAACAGAUCAUCUGUUUUUUCCUUAAAGGUUGUAUCUUUUCACACUCAGAUCUUCUAGAUCUUCUGUGGAACCGUCAUCAUUUUCUUGUAACUGUUCAGAAGUUUAUAUAUUGAAGAGAUUGUAUCGAGUUGCAGAUUUGUUUCAAGUUUUCUAUGCUUCUUAUCUCUCUCUCUCCUCCGCAUCCAAAUCCAGUGUAAUUUUUUCCGCUUUAGUUCAUUUUUCCUUUCUCCUUUUUUCCUUUUCUGAUGAUUUCAGACGCUUCCCAUUCAUUGUUUGAUUAGUCUGUGUAGGAUCCACGAUUCAGAAGAACUCAAUCAUGAUGUCUAUUGAAUAUUUAUACACUGCAGUGCGAUUCAGAUUUUUUUUGAUUGUAAAGCAGAUCCAGCAUCACCGUACAGACAGUGCGCUGAUCAUCUAAUGGUUUAGGAAAUUAAUACCUUUUAUAUAAAUUUUUUAUAUUCAGGCUUGUUAAGAUGGGAUUACGUAACGUCAUAUGUAUGAUGUCUGUUACAUUCUGCAUACAUCAUUUUUAAUUAAGGUUUCAAAAGGUGGUCUAGAUCGCUAAGAAUUUGUAAAUGAGGGAUUGUUAGGAGGACCAGAACAAUUACUAUAGACUAUCACAGACUCAACAGCAUCCUCAAGUGCACCAUUCAUCUGUGCCUGUGCGUGCGUUUAAGUGGUGAGGACUUGAAAAAGAAGUGGGAGACUUCAUCACAGUGGAAGCCCGGCGUCUGGAACAAAUAGAGCCUCCUCCCUCUGGUUUUUCGCAGUCAUCUAUCUUUCUGAACCUUCCUAUCUGGUAGCAAGCACAAAAAAAAAACAGAGGACAGAUUAUGGUAAUAUUAAGUCCUUCCCUUGGAUACUCUGGAACCUUUGGAAAGGGAGAAAUGCUUUGGUGUUUGAGAAAAGCCGAAUCUCCUCUGCUUCAUGCAUCUCUAAGUCGCUGGAAGAGGGAGAUAUUUGGUAUAUGGUUAACUACAAUGAGAAUAAUCAGGCUGCGGCUUUGGAAACAAGCCGUCUUCACACAACUCUUGGGAAAAGUCUCCCCUUGUUUUAUCAAAUGCAAUGUUGGCAUGGCUUGGGAUAGCUCUGGACCUCUGAGGGGUGCUAGCUGGGUUACAAGAGAUAGUCAGUGCCGUCCGCUUGACCAUAGCCGCCGUGCUUUCUGUUCUCCCCUAUCUAAACAGGAGUCAAACUUAAAGGCUAUGUUGUGGGCUGUGGAAGAGAUGGGCAACCUGAUUAUCUGAAGCAACGAAAAAUUCUGUUUGAAGUUUCUUCUGCGGAGGUGAGACAGUCACUUCUGGAUCCAUACAGCUAUCCUGAACUCUUAUCACUUUCUACAAAAAUCCUUGAGUUGCUGCACCGACACACCGUUUUGAUGAAUGGUCUGAUUCCACGUGCUUGACCAUAAAAAUAAUGUAGCAACAGCGAUUGCAGAUAGUGUGGUCUCAUACUUCUGUACGCAAUCUUAUGUCACCCGCUGGUGGACCUUGCUGGCUUCAUCAAGCUAUCCAACAGGAGGCAGGUGUCUAAUUUUCUAUUCCAUUGGCUGGCUCAGGGGAUAUGUGCCAGUGGCACCUUUAAUUGCCAUCUUGUUUCUUUUGGCUUAGUUCUUUCAUGUUUCUCUUUAGAUCUCUACGGUACCUGCUGGUAUCUUGUUGUCUGUUUCUCAGUUUUUCUAAGUGUUAAAAAAAAACACAAUCAAAGAAUCCCAGCAAAUGGUUUUUACAAA